GGGGUUGUAGUUAAAAUAUAUAACAUUUAAUUUGCAAUUAAAAUAUACUAAUACAUUAGUCUACCUCA
rnacentral:tRNA from 1 species